UACGAAGGGGGCUAGCGUUGUUCGGAAUUACUGGGCGUAAAGCGCACGCAGGCGGUGGUCAUAGUCAGAAGUGAAAGCCCUGGGCUCAACCCGGGAAUUGCUUUUGAUACUGGACCGCUAGAAUCACGGAGAGGGUAGUGGAAUUCCGAGUGUAGAGGUGAAAUUCGUAGAUAUUCGGAAGAACACCAGUGGCGAAGGCGACUACCUGGCCGUCGAUUGACGCUCAUGUGCGAAAGCGUGGGGA
rnacentral:rRNA from 1 species